UACAGAGGUCUCGAGCGUUGUUCGGAUUCAUUGGGCGUAAAGGGUGCGUAGGCGGCGAGCUAAGUUUGGUGUGAAAUCCUGGGGCUUAACCUCAGAAAUGCACUGAAUACUGGUUUGCUAGAGGACUGGAGAGGAGAUUGGAAUUCACGGUGUAGCAGUGAAAUGCGUAGAUAUCGUGAGGAAGACCAGUGGCGAAGGCGGAUCUCUGGACAGUUCCUGACGCUGAGGCGCGAAGGCCAGGGGAGCAAACGGG
rnacentral:rRNA from 1 species